AUUGAACGCUGGCGGCAGGCCUAACACAUGCAAGUCGAGCGGAUGAAGGGAGCUUGCUCCUGGAUUCAGCGGCGGACGGGUGAGUAAUGCCCAGGAAUCUGCCUGGUAGUGGGGGAUAACGUCCGGAAACGGGUGCUAAUACCGCAUACGUCCUGAGCGUGAAGGUGGGGGAUCUUCGGAACUCUCGCUAUCAGAUGAGCCUAGGUCGGAUUAGCUAGUUGGUGGGGUAAGUGCCUUCCAAGGCGACGAUCCGCAACUCGUCUGAGAGGAUGAUCAGUCACACGGGAGCGGAGACGCGGACCAGAGUCCUACGGGAGGCAGCAGUGGGGAAUGUUGGACAGUAGGCGAAAACAUGAUCCAAUCAGGCCACGUGUGAGAAGACGGUGUUGCGAGUGUAAAGCACUCUUACGUGUGAGGAACCGCAGUAGCAUAAUACGAUGCUGUUGUGACGUUAACAGCAGAAUAAGCACCGGCUAACUACGUG
rnacentral:rRNA from 1 species